rnacentral:misc_RNA from 1 species
UCGCUCAAUCAGGUCUUGCUC